UGUACGUAUUUCCUCCUCGCCAUUCCUCCGAGCUCGGCAACAACUACUCCUCCUGCCUCCACAGCCAGAAGAAACCAUGGGCGGCUGUGCGAGUAAACCCAAGACCACCGACGGCCAGGCCCCUGAGGUGCCGCCACCAGUAGUCGUUGCCUCAGCCCCGGCCGACGUUACCUCCACCCCCGCCGAGGCCACCGAGGCCGUGGUCGAGUCCAACGAGAACGCUGAGGAGAGCACGGAGGAACCAUCGAGCGAGGCGAAGCCCGAAGAGGCUACUGCGCCUAUUGCAGAAGGAGGCAAUCACACGGCCGAGGAGGCGAAGAGCACGGAGGAAGCGGCCACUGGGACUGCAUAGAAGCUAUACAACUCUUUCUAACGUCUGCAUGGCGAUGUACUAUUCAUGUACGUGUCGUCGUGUGGAUGCAUCAAAGCUUUAUGUUCGUCACCUGUCAUUUAGUGUGAUAAAUGUGAAAUAAAUUGUACGAGGCUAUUAUUAUUUA